rnacentral:rRNA from 1 species
GACGAACGCUGGCGGCGUGCCUAAUACAUGCAAGUUGAGCGAUGAAGAUUGGUGCUUGCGCCAAUUUGAAGAGCAGCGAACGGGUGAGUAACGCGUGGGGAAUCUGCCUUUGAGCGGGGGACAACAUUGGGAAACGAAUGCUAAUACCGCAUAACAACUUUAAACAUAAGUUUUAAGUUUGAAAGAUGCAAUUGCAUCACUCAAAGAUGAUCCCGCGUUGUAUUAGCUAGUUGGUGAGGUAAAGGCCCACCCAGGCGAUGAUACAUAGGCGACCUGAGAGGGUGGUCGGCCACAUUGGGACUGGGACACGGCCCAAACUCCUUCGGGAGGCAGCAGGAGGGGAUCUUCGGCCAUGGACGGAAGUCUGACCGAGCAACGCCGGGGGGGGGAAGAAGGGUUUCGGAUCGUAAAACUCUGUUGGUAGGGAAGAACGUUGGUGAGAGUGAAAAGCUCAUCAAGUGACGGUAACUAACCAGAAAGGGACGGCUAACUACGUG